UACGUAGGUCCCAAGCGUUAUCCGGAUUUACUGGGUGUAAAGGGAGCGUAGACGGCUUUGCAAGCCAGAUGUGAAAGCCCGGGGCUCAACCCCGGGACUGCAUUUGGAACUGUAUGGCUGGAGUGUCGGAGAGGCAGGCGGAAUUCCUAGUGUAGCGGUGAAAUGCGUAGAUAUUAGGAGGAACACCAGUGGCGAAGGCGGCCUGCUGGACGAUGACUGACGUUGAGGCUCGAAAGCGUGGGGAGCAAACAGG
rnacentral:rRNA from 1 species